CCUCCGGGCUGCAGCAGUGAGGAAUAUUGGUCAAUGGACGCGAGCCUGAACCAGCCAUGCCGCGUGAAGGAUGACUGCCCUAUGGGUUGUAAACUGCUUUUAUAAGAGGAUAAAUUCCGGUACGUGUACCGGGUUGUAAGUACUGUACGAAUAAGGAUCGGCUAACUCCGUGCCAGCAGCCGCGGUAAUACGGAGGAUCCAAGCGUUAUCCGGAUUUAUUGGGUUUAAAGGGUGCGUAGGCGGGUCGUUAAGUCAGAUGUGAAAGUCUGGGGCUCAACCGUGUAAUUGCAACUGAUACUGGCAGCCUAGAGUACAGUUGAGGUAGGCGGAAUGUAUGGUGUAGCGGUGAAAUGCUUAGAGAUC
rnacentral:rRNA from 1 species